rfam:Stenotrophomonas maltophilia K279a complete genome, strain K279a
GGGGGUGCAUUGGUUUCGACGGGGGUUGUGAAGUCGCCUGGCGCAUGCCGAGGGGGUAGCUUUCCUCGUAAAUCCAGCUGCAAAACUCUAGUUGCCAACGACGACAACUACGCUCUGGCCGCUUAAGGCCUAAGCCUCGAAACCGCUUGUGUCCAUGCUCGCGGUGUAGAGUCACUAUCAUGGAAUCGCGCUGGGUGGCUGCCUGUCAGUCCGGCACUAGAACACAACAGGCUGGUUCCCGGAUGCGCUUUGCACGCCGUGCUGUUCGGGGACGAGAUCCAACGGUGAGCUAAGCAUGUAGUGCUGGGGAUGGAGUGCCUUCGGACGGCGGUUCAAUUCCGCCCACCUCCACCA